CCUACGGGUGGCAGCAGUGGGGAAUAUUGGACAAUGGGCGAAAGCCUGAUCCAGCCAUGCCGCGUGUGUGAAGAAGGCCUUCAGGUUGUAAAGCACUUUCAGUGGGGAAGAAAGCCUUGGGGCUAAUACCCUCGAGGAAGGACAUCACCCACAGAAGAAGCACCGGCUAACUCCGUGCCAGCAGCCGCGGUAAUACGGAGGGUGCGAGCGUUAAUCGGAAUUACUGGGCGUAAAGCGCGCGUAGGCGGUCUGAUAAGCCGGUUGUGAAAGCCCCGGGCUCAACCUGGGAACGGCAUCCGGAACUGUCAGGCUAGAGUGCAGGAGAGGAAGGUAGAAUUCCCGGUGUAGCGGUGAAAUGCGUAGAGAUCGGGAGGAAUACCAGUGGCGAAGGCGGCCUUCUGGACUGACACUGACGCUGAGGUGCGAAAGCGUGGGUAGCAAACAGGAUUAGAUACCCCGGUAGUC
rnacentral:rRNA from 1 species